AACUACAGAUCCCAGCAGCCCUUGCUGCCGGAGCUGUAGUUUAGUUUCACUUUCUUCUAUGCAGUCACGCGUAGUGCCUGCCCCGGCAGAGCCAGAUUAAAGAGGGGACACAGAGAACAAGCUAACUCCCCAGCCUCCCCCCAGCUGCCUUUAAUCGUCACCGCAGUGCUGAGCUGAACAAGAAGAUUUAGCCGAAAGGGGGCAGGGCUACACGGCACUGUACACAGUGCCAGUCCAGCAAGCAGCAUGGGAGACAGAAGCUCACUGUGUAGCAGCAGAAGACCCUAAACAUACGAAAGAGAGCCAGCACAGCCAGGACACAAACCACACUGGCAAGAGAUGCGGAUGCUGGCGAUGCAGGAACUUCAUCAUCGCACCGCACUCCACUAAGACGACAUUCGCAGGGGUCUGGCAGUCUCCAGAAGAUGGGUAGUAAGAGACGCCGUCUUGAGGCGGUAACUACACCUGCAUCCUCACCACCACAAUGGCGCAUCUCAACUGUGUUGGCUCAGCCACCAGAAGCCAUUUUGGCCAGUCCACAAAGCGAUGAGCCACAAUCCCCUCAGGUGUCUGAUCCAGACAUCAUACCCCAGGAUACCCAGCAGGAAACUGACUUGCAGCAAACUUUCACACUACACCUGCAAGCAGUUGAUUCGAACCAGCCAACCAUGCCGGCUCCCCCACCCCAAACAACCCCCACCCAACAAUUGAGCCCAACACCACCCCAGCCACAAAUGGGACAAGACUUUUGGUCCAGUUGGUCCAUACAACAGGCCCAACACUAUGCCUGUCUGCAAAACCACAGCCAAUAGCUUGCCAGUCUGCCACAUCAUCUACCGAGACUGAGUAGAAACUCAGGCAGACUGAUGGUACAACUUGGCAGAGUGGCCAAUAGCAUGGAACAAAUGAGAGCAGACAACAGCCAAAUCAUAGGAAGCUUUCAACGCAUCAUGGACGAACAAAACCGCCAGCAACAAGCCCUCAUACAGCUAAUCCAGAACAAUCAGCUCAUCACAGAAAGUAUGUCCAGAAUAGUCGCCAACAACACAGCCGCAACAACACAACUGACAGCAAGCAUCAACAACCUGAGCCAAAACAUCAAUUUGUUGGCAGCCCAGCAACAAGGCUCAAGCUCGGGGACAACCACACCUAGCCAGACCCCAAUUUCGUCCCCAGUUAGGCGAUCAAGCAGAACACGGCCCAAUGUGCCAACAGAAUCCUCUGCAGCCACCAAAAAAACAACAAAAAAAUGAGCAAGCAACAAAAAUAAUAAUAAAGUUUUGUCAUAUAAAACUCACGAUUCUAGAUUUGUGCCCAACACAAUUAUAGUGUUUAAG